UAACUACUAGGUUGGAGCAAAAGUAAUUGUGGUUUUUGCCAUUGAAAGUAAUAGGCAAAAACCUAAUACCUUGAAUGUAAGCUGA
rnacentral:miRNA from 1 species